AUUGAACGCUGGCGGCAUGCUUUACACAUGCAAGUCGAACGGUAACAGGCCGCAAGGUGCUGACGAGUGGCGAACGGGUGAGUAAUGCAUCGGAACGUGCCCAGUCGUGGGGGAUAACUACUCGAAAGAGUAGCUAAUACCGCAUACGAUCUAUGGAUGACAGCGGGGGACCGUAAGGCCUCGCGCGAUUGGAGCGGCCGAUGUCAGAUUAUGUAGUUGGUGGGGUAAAGGCUCACCAAGCCAACGAUCUGUAGCUGGUCUGAGAGGACAACCAGCCACACUGGGACUGAGACACGGCCCAGACUCCUACGGGAGGCAGCAGUGGGGAAUUUUGGACAAUGGGCGCAAGCCUGAUCCAGCAAUGCCGCGUGCAGGAAGAAGGCCUUCGGGUUGUAAACUGCUUUUGUACGGAACGAAACGGCUCUGGUUAAUACCCGGGGCUAAUGACGGUACCGUAAGAAUAAGCACCGGCUAACUACGUG
rnacentral:rRNA from 1 species